rnacentral:rRNA from 1 species
CACGUAGGGGGCAAGCGUUGUCCGGAAUCAUUGGGCGUAAAGAGCUCGUAGGCGGCUCGGUAAGUCGGGUGUGAAACCCUCAGGCUCAACCUGGGGACGCCACCCGAUACUGCCGUGGCUAGAGUCCAGUAGGGGAGUGUGGAAUUCCCGGUGUAGCGGUGAAAUGCGCAGAUAUCGGGAGGAACACCAGCGGCGAAGGCGGCACUCUGGGCUGGUACUGACGCUGAGGAGCGAAAGCGUGGGUAGCAAACAGG